rnacentral:rRNA from 1 species
AGUGAACGCUGGCGGUAGGCCUAACACAUGCAAGUCGAACGGCAGCACAGUAAGAGCUUGCUCUUACGGGUGGCGAGUGGCGGACGGGUGAGGAAUACAUCGGAAUCUACUUUUUCGUGGGGGAUAACGUAGGGAAACUUACGCUAAUACCGCAUACGACCUACGGGCGAAAGCAGGGGAUCUUCGGACCUUGCGCGACUGAAUGAGCCGAUGUCGGAUUAGCUAGUUGGCGGGGUAAAGGCCCACCAAGGCGACGAUCCGUAGCUGGUCUGAGAGGAUGAUCAGCCACACUGGAACUGAGACACGGUCCAGACUCCUACGGGAGGCAGCAGUGGGGAAUAUUAGACAAUGGGCGCAAGCCUGAUCCAGCCAUACCGCGUGGGUGAAGAAGGCCUUCGGGUUGUAAAGCCCUUUUGUUGGGAAAGAAAAGCAGCAGGUUAAUACCCCGCUGUUCUGACGGUACCCAAAGAAUAAGCACCGGCUAACUUCGUG